rnacentral:lncRNA from 1 species
UUAAGUAUCUCCUUAUUUGUAAUAUCUCAUUAGCAAAUCAAGAACUUAUGGAUAAUUACUAAAACACUAAAAGUUAAAAGGGAAAAUUUUAUGUUUACCACUUUCAUGUUACCACUUUCAUCUUUACCACCACUAAAGAGACAUUUUCAAAAAGAGUCAUUCUUGGGUUCACUCCCUAGGGUGAACCUCUAGGUUCACCAACCAAUAGAAUUUCAUUAUUUCAAAUUCGAUAUCUUUUAAAAAAGGAAACAAAAUAUUCUCAAAUUAUAUUAUGUUUUUAAAAUAAAAAAAAAGAUAAUAGUUACAGAAAAACAAAUUCAAAAAAAAUAUAUUUUUAAUGUUCUCAACAAAACACUAAACCCUAAAUCCUAAUCCCUAAACCCUAAAUCCUUGGAUAAACCCUAAACCCUUGGGUAAAUCCUAAACCCUUGGGUAAACCCUAAACCUUUGGAUAAACCCUAAACCCUUGGAUAAAUCCUAAACUCUAAAUAAAAAAUACUAAAACCCUAAACCCUAAACGCUUG